AGAACAUAAAUUGCCAGCAAUAAUUACAAGAACUUUUCAACCACCAAGUUGAGGAAAUUACCGAUUUUCAAGAUUAGCCAAGGAGGAGGACCGAUGAUAACAGAAGGCCAGUGGAGCACUUAGAACAGCAGCAGCUAGGGCAAAUGGUAGGGAAGAAGAUGAUUUAAGUGACCCAGACACAGUCCUAAAACAAGUUUAACUACCCCAGUAUCCCCUUGACCGUUUUGGAUUGUAAAACUAAAGACACACACGAGACAAGACACAGAAAGCAACAGAAGAGUAGAUGAUGCAGAGAGACACCAGACAAGACACAGAGACAGCAACAGAAGAGAAGGAUGUGAUGGAGAGAGAGACACCAGACAAGAAAAAGAGACAGCAACAGAAGAAUAGGAUGUGAUGGAGAGAGACCAGAAGAACAGAACAGGCCAUAACAGAAGAGGACAGACAAAGGAGACAGUAACAAACAAUAACCUGAGACAGCAACAGACAAGAUACAGAAGAGGGCAGAUGGAGAGAGAACAGAGGACAGGACGAGAGAAGAGGGUACACAAAGACAGCAACAGAAGAGGGCAGACAAGCGAGACAACAACAGACAACACAGAUAAAGCUAUGGAGAGAGGCAGAGGAGGCUUAUUGGACAGUUUGGCUCACUGGACAGAUCCAUGGAAGAUGCCAGAGUCAGAGAGGACAGAACUGUAGCGGAGAGGAAAACAGCGUCAGGGAAGGGAAAACAGUCACAACACGAAAACAGGAUCUAUGCAGGAACAAACGGCUAAAAACGCAGACUGACUGAGCAGAGGUUACGAUCUGGCAGCGUGGAAGUGACAGGGCUGAGUAUUUGGAGAGGUCUUGAUUAUGGAACAGGUUGCAGCUGAUGGGGAUCUGCUCUGCCUCCAGCACAGCUG
rnacentral:lncRNA from 1 species